GCGCAGGGAACGGGAGAAGAAGAAGGAAGCAAAGACGUGCACGUCGCGAGCGGGAAGAGAUAGAUUUUCGUGAUUUUUGGAGAAUCUUCAGUGCGGGGAUACUGAUCUAAACAGCUUCGCUCCACUAUAAAGAGCGAAACUCGAAACAGAGAAAGGAGGAAUCCCUGAGGCCAAGGGGGCGUAGAGAGAGGGAGGAGGCCGAGAAGAGAGAGCUCAUCUUCUCCAUGGAUUCUUCGCAAGAUACUCAGAAAAAUCCCCUCAAAUUGUUCUUCUCAUUCUUUAUUUUCCUUCUACUCGCAGAACCAAUUACUGGCCUCUACUUAUUGACAUAAGCACAAAUAUCACCCAUCUCUGUAUUUUCUUCAGUGCGACUCCAAGCAGCUCAGGCCAUCUCUGUCACAGAAGAAGCCCUCUCUCUGCUGUCCUUAAUUUCCGAGCGGCAAUCAUAUACACUGCAGCUUAUCAUCACCGAGACCCAACCUUCAUCGCACAUGAAAAAACUUCUACUCUGUCUUGCCCAUGGACAUAGGCAUAUUUGCAGAAUUAUGUAAUCUCGUGUCUUUCUUUUUUAGUCUUUAUUUGUGUGAUUGUAUGUGUGAUUGGGAUUAUUUCCUUUACAAAUUAGUAUCAGACCUGACUUUGCACACAAUUUAAGGUUUCUAAAUGGCAUCUUCGUCUUCUGCAAAGUAUGAGCUAGAAAAAUUUGAUGGUAGAACGAAUUUCAAUCUAUAGAAGAUUAGAAUGAAAUUAUCCAUGAUGUUAUAAGGUUUAUGGGAGGCAGUUGAGGAUAACUUUCCAGAGAGUUUGAAAGAGACUGACAAGGCAAACUUGAAAGAGAAAGUCUUGAGUGCAAUUUUCUUAAAUGUGACUGAUAAUGUUCUACGUGAAAUUGCUGGAGAACUUUCGGUAUCUACAGUGUAAAAGAAAUUAGAAGAGUUGUACUUUACAAAGUUGCUGAAAAAUCGUCUUUAUUUGAAGUAAAAACUAUAUAAACUAAGAAUGAGUGAAGAUACACCUAUUAAGCAACCUCUUGAUGAAUUUAGUUCAGUCAUUAUGAAUAUAAAUUGUAUAGACAUUAAAAUUGAUAAAGAGGAUCAGACUUUAAUUGCAUUGUGUUCAUUGCCAUCCUUAUGAAACCUUCGUUGAUACUUUGUUGUAUGAAAAUGAUAUUGUUUCAUUGGAUGAUGUUACUAGUGCAUUAAAAUCAAAAGAGUUGAAGAAGAAUUUUUUAGAAAAAUAGAAUAGAACAGAAGAGUUUGGUAAGUGGGGGAAGAACACAUUGUUUCAAGUGUGGGGAGCAGGGUCAUUUUUGGAGAAAUUGUCUUAAGUUGAAAGAGAAAAAAGGAAAGAGGUAGGAGAAUUCUCCAAAUAUUAUUGACAUUAAUGAUUAUCAUGAUAGUGAUAAUGGUGUUGCUGGAGAAGUUUUAUGUGAGUUCGAAUCAUGGAAAGGAUUCUUGGGUUUUUAAUUCUAGUACUACAUUCUACAUACGGCUAUACAAAGAUUGAUUUGUUACUUAUAAACAGAUGAAUGGUUCUAUAUAUAUAGGUAAUGAUAGUUUGUUAUAUGUAGAUGGAAUUAAUAGCAUUAUAUUGAGAAUAUUUAAUGAAAUUGUUAGAACUAUUGAAUGUUGUCAUGUUCAACAGAUGAAGAGAAAUUUAAUUUCUCUUUUGACGCUAGAUUCUCAAACUUAUAGAUACUAUACAGAAAAUAGUGUACUCAAAGUGUAUAAAAGCUUUAUGAUAUUCCCAAAAGGCAUAUCGGAACAGUGAUCAAAAUCAAGACAAUACAAUUUCAAGAGAAGUUGUUGUAGCAUCAAGGAAUAGUGAUCAAAAUCAGACUAUGUUGUGCAUUUUGUGUCUCGGUCAUAUGGUUGACAAUGAAUUAUCUAUUUUGAACAAACAGAAUUUGUUGGAUGGAUUUUUGUGACCAUUAUGUGUUUGACAAAUAGACUUGGGUGAAAUAACAUGCAAGAUUUGUCAUUCACCUUAAAUCCUUCCACCAUAAUAUUAUUUUAAGGAAAA